ensembl:lncRNA PEF1-AS1 PEF1 and COL16A1 antisense RNA 1
AGCUAAGUGAUUGAUGGAGCUUCCGGAAGUCUUGGCGGCUGUACCAGCGCUAAUGUUCCUCCUUUUCCUGAGGUGGAGUGGGCCGAAGAGGUAUUCUAAUCACAGAAUUACUGGAGCAUCAAGAAGUGCCUGCAUGCUUGGAAGGGCUUCCAGGCAGAUGAACACACCUCAGCACCGGGUGGCAUUUUCCCAGGGUGCAACCCGGACCGGCUCUGGGUCACACUGACAAGCCUCUCCGACUCCCCAGGCUGGGUUGGGUGCUCCUCCCUCUCAUCCCACAGCGCUAUGUCUCAUGUCUUCUGGAAAACUUGCCAAUCCCUAGUGACAACAGGGUUAACAAUUUCCAGAGACAGCCCGUACAUAGAAGGAAUGUUUACUGAAAAAAAUGAAGAGGGGUCAGGGCAAGGCGAGGAGCAAGAAGCACCCCCAAGGAAACAGAGAAGACCAGUACAACUGUACCUCUUUGCCAGCUGCACCAUCCGUACCAGUCUCCUGGGGUGGAAGUGUCCAGCACAGAGACUGCCACACUGCAAGACGAAGGGGCUGGACACACGGAAGAGAGAGGCGGAACCCUGCACCCCCUCAACCUCAGCCCUACUGAGUCUCCAAUGGGGCCACGCUUCUGAGUGCACCUCCCCGUGUCAUCUGUAAUGUGAGGGGGAACCAGGCUUGAUAUGGCAUUCCCAAUCCAGGGC